GCUAUCACGAUGAAUGGGAGAGUAGUCGGCAAACCUUCAUCCCAGAGAGCCGGGCCAGGUGAGAGCCGGUAUGAGGUUGCAGAUGAAAGCCCCCCAGGAGUGCCGGUGAAACCGGGGUCAAGGUCAAGCCGGACGGCAGCCCACCGUUAAAGGGUAAGAGCGGGCUUGUAUGCCAAUCAGGGUGGUACCGCGGGAACAACUCUCGUCCCUUGU
rnacentral:ncRNA from 1 species